UGCGUAGGCGGAAUAUUAAAUCAGUGGUGAAAUCCUGCGGCUCAACCGUAGAACUGCCAUUGAUACUGAUAUUCUUGAAUGUAGUUGAGGUAGGCGGAAUGUGUAAUGUAGCGGUGAAAUGCUUAGAUAUUACACAGAACACCGAUUGCGAAGGCAGCUUACUAAACUAUGAUUGACGCUGAGGCACGAAAGCGUGGGGAGCGAACAGGAUUAGAUACCCUGGUAGUCC
rnacentral:rRNA from 1 species